rnacentral:rRNA from 1 species
AUCGACAGGCUUAACACAUGCAAGUCGAGGGGCAGCACAGGUAGCAAUACCGGGUGGCGACCGGCGCACGGGUGAGUAACGCGUAUGCAACUUACCUAUCAGAGGGGGAUAACCCGGCGAAAGUCGGACUAAUACCGCAUGAAGCAGGGGUCCCGCAUGGGGAUAUUUGCUAAAGAUUCAUCGCUGAUAGAUAGGCAUGCGUUCCAUUAGGCAGUUGGCGGGGUAACGGCCCACCAAACCGACGAUGGAUAGGGGUUCUGAGAGGAAGGUCCCCCACAUUGGUACUGAGACACGGACCAAACUCCUACGGGAGGCAGCAGUGAGGAAUAUUGGUCAAUGGCCGAGAGGCUGAACCAGCCAAGUCGCGUGAGGGAUGAAGGUUCUAUGGAUCGUAAACCUCUUUUAUAAGGGAAUAAAGUGCGGGACGUGUCCCGUUUUGUAUGUACCUUAUGAAUAAGGAUCGGCUAACUCCGUGCCAGCAGCCGCGGUAAUACGGAGGAUCCGAGCGUUAUCCGGAUUUAUUGGGUUUAAAGGGUGCGUAGGCGGCCUUUUAAGUCAGCGGUGAAAGUCUGUGGCUCAACCAUAGAAUUGCCGUUGAAACUGGGGGGCUUGAGUAUGUUUGAGGCAGGCGGAAUGCGUGGUGUAGCGGUGAAAUGCAUAGAUAUCACGCAGAACCCCGAUUGCGAAGGCAGCCUGCCAAGCCAUUACCGACGCUGAUGCACGAAAGCGUGGGGAUCAAACAGGAUUAGAUACCCUGGUAGUCCACGCAGUAAACGAUGAUCACUAGCUGUUUGCGAUACACUGUAAGCGGCACAGCGAAAGCGUUAAGUGAUCCACCUGGGGAGUACGCCGGCAACGGUGAAACUCAAAGGAAUUGACGGGGGCCCGCACAAGCGGAGGAACAUGUGGUUUAAUUCGAUGAUACGCGAGGAACCUUACCCGGGUUUGAACGCAUUCGGACCGAGGUGGAAACACCUUUUCUAGCAAUAGCCGUUUGCGAGGUGCUGCAUGGUUGUCGUCAGCUCGUGCCGUGAGGUGUCGGCUUAAGUGCCAUAACGAGCGCAACCCUUGCCACUAGUUACUAACAGGUAAAGCUGAGGACUCUGGUGGGACUGCCAGCGUAAGCUGCGAGGAAGGCGGGGAUGACGUCAAAUCAGCACGGCCCUUACAUCCGGGGCGACACACGUGUUACAAUGGCGUGGACAAAGGGAAGCCACCUGGCGACAGGGAGCGAAUCCCCAAACCACGUCUCAGUUCGGAUCGGAGUCUGCAACCCGACUCCGUGAAGCUGGAUUCGCUAGUAAUCGCGCAUCAGCCAUGGCGCGGUGAAUACGUUCCCGGGCCUUGUACACACCGCCCGUCAAGCCAUGGGAGCCGGGGGUACCUGAAGUCCGUAACCGCGAGGAUCGGCCUAGGGUAAAACUGGUGACUGGGGC